rnacentral:rRNA from 1 species
GGACGGCAGCGGGGGGCUUGCCCCCCGUGAGAGUGGCGGACUGGUGAGUAACGCGUGGGUGACCUGCCUUGAGGUUGGGGAUAGCCGCUAGAAAUAGCGGGUAAUACCGGAUAUGGUUACGGGGUUAUGACCCGGUAAAGAAAGGGGCUUUGGCCCCGCCAUGGGAUGGGCCCGCGUCCCAUUAGCUUGUUGGGGGUGUAACGGACCACCAAGGCGAUGAUGGGUAGCCGGCCUGAGAGGGUGAACGGCCACACUGGGACUGAGAUACGGCCCAGACUCCUACGGGAGGCAGCAGCUAAGAAUAUUCCGCAAUGGGGGGAACCCUGACGGAGCGACGCCGCGUGGAUGAGGAAGGCCGAAAGGUUGUAAAAUCCUUUUGCCGGAGAAGAAUAAGGGGGGUAGGGAGUGACCUUCCUGAUGACGUUAUCCGGUGAAUNAGCCCCGGCU